CCGCCGGGCACCGGGAGGCCGUUCCCUCUCGUUGUCCGCUUUGUAUCCGCCGCCCGACACUCCGCCCGUGUGCCUGUGAGGGGUCGGCGUGGGACGGGCUGCAGUCACGUAGAAUAAAGGAGUUUGAAAAAAGGCUUUAAAGGAAACUCAGGAAAUGUGAAGCUUAGACUGACCACUUGCAGACACAGGAUCAAGGCUGCAGCUGGAAGGCAGGUGGGAUACACAAAAUGUAACCUAUGCAAGAACAGCUCUGAGAUGGAAUGACAAUGAUGAAGCCAAGAAAAUGCUUGGGAAUCUCAGAACAGCAUCUCAAACACCAGGGGAACAACGAUGCCUAAUUGGAUUGCAUAUCCUCAGAUAAUUUUCCUGCUUACAACACCAUAAAGCAUGAAGCAACCCACAUCCCAC